GACGAACCGUGCGAACGUUGUUCGGAUUCACUGGGCUUAAAGGGCGCGUAGGCGGGCCACCAAGUCAGGGGUGAAAUCUUUCGGCUCAACCGGAAAAGUGCCUUUGAUACUGGUGGUCUCGAGGGAGGUAGGGGCGUGCGGAACUUCCGGUGGAGCGGUGAAAUGCGUAGAUAUCGGAAGGAACGCCGGUGGCGAAAGCGGCGCGCUGGACCUCUUCUGACGCUGAGGCGCGAAAGCCAGGGGAGCAAACGGG
rnacentral:rRNA from 1 species